AGGAGGAUGGAUCCAGGACCGACCGCUGCGGAUUCCCCGCCUCACUAAUGUCGGUCUUGUGCUUGCCUGGGGUUCUUCUUCGCCCAGCACCAACACCGUUGAUGGCAGUGAAAACCAGCUGCUACAGAUGCUGAUCAUUGGCCGGUGAGCUCACACAUUUGCACCUUCGGAAGCACCAGGUCACCUACUACAACAUCAAGUUCUACGACGAGGUUGCUGGGCGCUAGCCAUGGCUUCCGACGCGUUACAUGGCUGAAGGCUUUUUGGUUCGCGUGCUCGUGUGACGCCGGCGCCAGUGGUGCUGUACGGCCUCGGCUACAGCCAUUCUGGAACUAGCUAUGGCGGUGGCUGCGGAUUUUCCACUUCAACAAGGUUUCGUGCCUCCCUGGUUUGCACAAGCUCCGUCAGGCAGCUGCAGAUCCCGUACGACCAUGGCCCACACCCCGGAAGCUUCACCCGUCUGCAACAACUUCUGGAUCAAAGGAUUGUUGCUUAAUCCCGGGCUGCUCUACCUUGAAGGAAAAGGGGUCGUCCUUGAGAUCAUAUAGAUGGCGCAAGGACAAUGGUCAUUGUGGUGGCUGAGGAUGCUGGCCAAGAUCUUAUCGUGUGAAGCAUGAAUUUUGUGGACCUCACCAUCCCUUCCUAGGUUUGGCUGCUGAUCGGGAACCAACCAUUGGUGUACCUCAAUAAGGUCACAGACGGCUGCAUGGGUGAGUCGCCGCCAAGCUCGAGUCCAUGGAGCCCUGCUCCAGCCUCAAGGGGAGGAGAAGGGGUUCAUCGAGCCAGGCAAGGUGUGCGGUGGUAGGCUCGGUCUCCAGCCUCAGCGUCUUCUGUUGGCCCCUUUGCCAUGUGGCGCCGACGAUGUUGUUCGGAGUCGGCUACAAAACUGGCAUGGUUUGGCUUUUUAUCCAAUGUAUGAACUGAUGGAUCAUCCUCUGGGUUAUGCUUCCUGAAUAGCGAAGAGCUAAUCAUCCUGGUGAUUGGUCAAAUAAAAGUUCAUCUUGUUUCAGUUGCCCCUGUAGUGAUAGGGAUGCAGUGUGAUGUUGAAAAAGGCCACAGCUGCUGAUCGUGAACUAGCCAUUGGUGUACCUCAAUAAGGUCACCGACGGCUGCAUGGGUGAGUCACCGCAAAGCUUGAGUCCAUGGAGCCCUGCUCCAGCCUCAAGGAGAGGUUAGGCAGCUGCUCCUUUUUUUCUGGAUCCCCGUGAUUUGUUUUUUGUUGUUGUUGUUUUUCAAUCUUGGCUCAAGAUUUGUUAUGUGUGUUUCCCUUGUGCCGGAGAAAUGGUUCAUCGAGCCAGGCAAGGUGCGCGGUGGUAGGCUCGGUCUCCAGCCUCAGCGUCUUCUGUCGGCCCCAUUGCCAUGUGGCGCCUACGGUGCUGUUCGGAGUCGGCUACAAAACUGGCUUGGAAGCACGACAGGUCGCGUAAAGAGGAGGAAAACAAAGCUGAGCGCUCAACUUGUUUAGUGGACUAGCCUUUCUUCUUCCUUGAAAGAAACGUUGAAAGGUAAGACAUGACAGGGGCAAGCAUAGAUAGGCACUGGAGAUUUUUUUUUCUUUCUCUAGUCCAUUUACUGAAUGGGGUGAUGCUUUAUUUCUUCCGAAGGAGAAGAUGUGCUGAAACUAGAUGUAGAGAUGCAUGACCCUUUCUUUGAUUUCCUCUACGUGCUUGAUUCUGAAGUAGGAUGAUCAAAUUUAGAUGGUAUUUACUUUUUUUGUAGGGCAAGUAUAAUGUUUGCCAAGUCAAUCAAUAUAUAUUGACAUGCUCCCUGGGAUGAGAUGGCAAACCAUUUAGAUCAAGCCAUUUCAGUUUGCUGCAUUCAAAUUCCAAACCAAUUAAUGUCCACUUUUAGUUUAAGCCAUGAGAUGAUGGAAAACCAACUCAGUUUGCUACACUUGGUUGUAGAAAUGUCACUCACCGUUCCAGAUUAUUACUUGAGGUUAUAUAUGCUAUACGUAUAAACUAUGCUAGUGUUUGAUCUGGCCCUUGCGAAACAAGGAAAUUUGUUCCUUUCUUUUGUUGUCGCACACUUGUAGCUAAAGAUUGACUAGGACAUUGCUAUUUUUUAUUGCCGCUUGAUCUGAACCCUUCAGUCUUGUUGAUAGCUAGCAUGCCCUGCGACUAACGAUUACGCAAAGAACUCUUAUCUACUCUUGGUAAUUUACCAAGAAAACUCUGCAGUUUGAACGGAUCGAGUUGAUUGUGACUAUCACGAUCCUUUUGAUGGGUUUUGUUGUUGAAACAACGCAAACUAGGAGGGGGAUUAGAUAACUGAUUGAGAGCUAUUUGUUUUGUUGUGUGCAUGCUAUGGGACACAUACAUUACACUUUUUUAGCUUAGUCUCGGCCUACUAGACAUUGCUUGUAGUUUCUUGCUUUGAGCUUGUUUGGCAUGCAAAUUAACUCAUAUGUGGUGGAGUUCUUUUCUUUGUUUUUGCUGAGACGAAGAGCUUCUAGCUUUGAGAGGCAAAAGAAGAUGGUCCUCCGAAUUCGUUUAAGCUUGGCUUUGGUGGCGCCGGAAGAGAAAGGUUUGUUUUCGGACUCGAGGCCAACCAAGCAACUAGGCUGUCGACCGAAUUCGUUUAAGCUUGGCUUUGGUGGCAUUGGAAGAGAAAGGUUUGUUUUUGGACAUGGGACCUGGCGCUGCUUAUGACAACGGUCAUUUCUUUGUGUAUGUAAUAUACUAGUUGUUGUAAUAGACUAGCUUUUGUACCUGCCACUUGUAGUGUUCUCCUUCCAUGUGAAAUACAAAAUGGCAAUUCUAUGCCCCUGUUCAUGCAUUC